UACAGAGGUCUCAAGCGUUGUUCGGAUUCAUUGGGCGUAAAGGGUGCGUAGGUGGCGCGCUAAGUCAGGUGUGAAAUUUCGGAGCUUAACUCCGAAACUGCAUUUGAUACUGGCGGGCUUGAGUGUGGCAGAGGGGGGUGGAAUUCCGCGUGUAGCAGUGAAAUGCGUAGAGAUGCGGAGGAACACCGAUGGCGAAGGCAGCCCCCUGGGCUGACACUGACGCUGAGGCACGAAAGCGUGGGGAGCAAACAGG
rnacentral:rRNA from 1 species